UCGGCUGCUCCUUCCCUCUUCUGGAGAAGGGAGAGCCGGCCGCCGGGGUGUGAGGCCUCCACCCGGGACACUGGGGGGGGGGCGGUUUGGGGGCUGGAGACCUGCUCCGGCGGGUCGGCAGGAGCUUUACCGUGAAACGGCAUCGGUGUCACGGAGCAGCAGUGUUCCCCUCCGGCUCCCAUGUCCUGGCGGGCAGUGCCAGCGCAGUCCUUGAGUUGGUCGCCCGCUACCAUUUUGCCUCUUCCCCUUCCUUUCCCUCCCAAACUCUCACUGAAUAAUUCAUUCCCACAGCUCCCUUCGGCAGAGUAAGGUCUGCAGCAGGGAAAGUCUCUUCUCUGCAUGUAUUUAAGGCAGGAUUCUUUAAGGGAAGAAUCGUGAAAAUGCAUAUCACCAAUGAAAAUGCAGAUUCACUCCAGUUCAAAACCUUCAUCUGUUGUCUGGGACAUGAUGGAUACAAAAGAUAAGGACACUGUAUUGACAGCUCUAAACGCUUCACACGUUCAAAAUACAUUCUACAUUAGAGUAGUCUGAUGCAGAAAUGGGAAAUACAUGGACAGUAUGGUUUCUUCACUCCUCACCAGCAUUUUAGAUUCUUUAUCUUUGGGGAAGAUCAAAACCAAGUUUGAAAUGGAAAAGAUCUUCUAGCUUUAAUUAUGAAAUCUCUGCUGUAACUAUUACAAAGUAUGUCCUAGAAGUUCUUUCUCAGACUAAUUUUCCUAAUAUUAAAAAUGUAUCAGUGUUCAAGCUGGUCUGAAUAAAACUAGUUUUUCUGUCUCACAGAAGCCUACCCUCUGGACAAGAAAGCCACCUUUAGGGCAUGGUAGGAAUCCUUUUUCCCAUUUGUGAUCAUUAGUGGAGAAGUAAGAAGGCAAAUAGGGAUGAAAAAGAACUUCUAAAUCUGCUUUGAUGUGAACCUCAACUUCCUAAGUACCCUGCUGAAAAGUAAAUUAUUCACAGUUUUUACUCUUAACUUUGUUCAACUCUGUUUCAACUUUAGUGCUUUCAUUUCUACAGGCAAGUAUUUACACAGACCAAACGUGCGUGCUAGUGAAUGUUUGCUCAUGUCUUUCUACAAAAGUAUCUCUUUGCAGAUGUAAUAGUAUAUUUUGUAGACAUAGUCUGAAUGUUUGCUUUUGAAAACUGUCCUAGAAGACAGUGGCAGAUGUAAUUGCAGAAUCUAGGUCAGGAUGAUAAAUGUACAGCAAGUGAAAUACAGGAAGUAUUAAUAAAAAGCCAUGCAAUUAUAGGUGUCAUUUUCAAAUGAAAUGUAAUGGCUUACAUUUGCAGAAAGGUGUCAGGCACAAACGCUGCCAAUAUGUUUGCAUCUACACGUGUACUUGUGUAACUUCAGGGCUGCAAGCACACUGGGAAGUUAGGUGCUAAAGCACUGGAAAUGGAUGCACAGUUCCCACACUGGAAGGAAGAGUGGCACUUCUGCGUAUUAUGAGGCAAAGUGUGAACCUGCAUGAAAAUGCCCCCUAGUAUGCUCAUAAACAAUUUCUUUGUAAGCAGCUAAAAGCCAUUCAAGUGGAUCAGUAUUGCUUAUUGGUCUCUGAUCUGUAAUAUAAAAGUAACUCAUGACAGUGGAGCUAGAAGUGAAAAUAAGACAGCAGUCACUAUGAAGGUAUACUGGAACUAUAGAGAUAAACUAUGUGAGGUGGAAAGAAUGGUAAUGAGGGGUAAAAAAAGCUGCAAUUCCAAAGUAGAUGUGACAGUAGAUGUUUAAAAAAAAUAAUCUGAGACAUGGAGACUGAAAAGUGUAAUUAUAAGAAUGAGAGGUGAUGUUUUGGCCAGAAAUACACAAUAUACAUACAAAAGAAAUUGUCUAAAUUUGAUGUGUCACCAGCACUGAAUUUCUUAAAAUGGAAGCAUGUCAGUAAUUAAAUGCCAAUGAUAAAUUCUGGGAACAAGAUCUUAUCCAUGUGGAAUACAAAUACCAUUUUGGCCUAAAUCCUGAACAACGAAAGUUGGUUUGCUGAUGUAAGGUACAUGCUCUUUUCUACUAGUGAGAAUAUUUUGCAUCUUUACAAACUUGAUGUAGGUCCUCAGCAGAUGGAGGAGAUGGCUGACAUGUCCCUUCUCUCAUGCGUAGCUUUAGAAGGCAGAUAAGGCUUAUGAGCACCAGGACUGCCCGUCUUUGUAAUCUGUGGGGAGAAGGCAGUGCCCAGGCUCCAAGUUUAGGCCAGUGUCCUGUCCCUGACAGGAGCUAAUCAGAGAUUCAGUAGAUGGAGAGUGCUAAGGAGUUGGCAGUAGGUACAGGGAUAAUCCAUCCCCCUUGCUAGUGCUUACAAGGACAGAAGAAUGGGGGAUGCUUUCAGGCUGACUUUAAAUGACAUGGGUGACAGAAGCCUGGUGACUGGUGUGGAAAGAUGGGUCCAUGUGGAAGGAGAGACAAGCAUAGCUCUGCUGCUGGUAGGAGCCCCUUUCCAGUGCAUCUCCACCAUGCAGCGGGCCAUCAGGGCAGGGGUGCUGGUCUGGUCUCGGCUCUGCCCCAUAGUAGUUUUGGCAGUGAUGGCUAUGAGCUAAUAGGUUGGAUCUGUCUUCCAAGGUCUCUUAUUUGAAAUGCCAGGUAUAAAUCUAAAUUGAUACCCCAGCCACCUUCUAAUCUCUCUGAGUUUAAAGCUCAUAUUUACAGAGACAGUAAUUUGCAAAGGUUCAUAUUUAUGAGAAAAGAAUCCUGUUAUAAAUUUUGAAUAUUCCCAUUUCUAAUACUUCAUUUACUUGCUGCUAACUUUUCUGGUAAGAGACAGAAGACACAGGUCCUGUUCUGUUUUUCUGUAACAUGUAUUUUAUUUUUAGGCCCUUUUAUUUAAUACACUAUUCUUAUAACGUUGUGGAGUGCAGAUAUUUAGAAGACCACUCAAAAAAGCUAAGAAGUAAGGAGGGCAUGUAGUAUGCUUUUUUCACAAGUGUUUUCUAUGUCUGGCCGAUAGAAUUAUCCCUUUCUCAGCCUCCUUUAGCACUGAAGUGCCCUUCUUGAAAGAGAAUGUGCAGUACAGCACUUCAGAAAAGGUGGCUACUGCUUUGCCUUCAAAGUUAUAAAGCUAUUCCUGUUAUUCUUCAUCCUAUGACUUACGUAUGCAUCUUUUGCUGUGACUGCAUACUGAAGCUGUUCACUGAGCUACCUGCAGUGAUGGGUAAUAUUCCCACCACAGGUGACUUUGUAAAAGAAAGUUUAAUAUUGUCCAUUUAUUGCUACAUUAAAGCAGUAGUUUCCUAAGGUUCCCAACUUUAUAUCAUUUGUUGAAGCCAAGCUUAUCUACGAAGUCCAAGCAAAGAACUCAUACUUAGUGAUGACCAGCCCACCUUAAUAACAUCCUUUAUCCUGUUAAGGCAUGUGCAAAGAUUAACCCAGUUUACUUUUCAGGAGACUUAAGAAUGUUCAGGUUUUUCUAAUGUACAUGUAACAGAGCAGUGCAGUCAAGGGGACAGAUUCAUUUCUGCUAUACCUGUGAAGAAUAUGGCUCAGGCACCCAGCAAGUUAUGUCAAACUCUUGGAGGCCACGUGCCAGAUCUUUUGGAACUUCUUAGGUGAUGUAUUUUGCCAAACUGACAAUUAGAUCAGGUGCUUAGCAAUUCUGAAAAUUAAGCUAAUUACUAUGAUACUGACAGAUUUAACACUCUUUCUUAAUUCUAGUACAAGCUUUUAUUUUUCAAUACUAGGCAGAAGAAGGGUGCAAGUAUUCCAGGCCUAAAGAAAUUAGUGGCACAGUGCCAGUGCAAGCGAAGACAGGUGAUUUCCCUGG